GAUGAACGCUGGCGGCGUGCUUAACACAUGCAAGUCGAACGAAGCACUUUACUGAUUUCUCGGAACUGAUUGUACUGUGACUGAGUGGCGGACGGGUGAGUAACGCGUGGAUAACCUGCCUCACACAGGGGGAUAACAGUUGGAAACGGCUGCUAAUACCGCAUAAGCGCACAGCACCGCAUGGUGCAGUGUGAAAAACUCCGGUGGUGUGAGAUGGAUCCGCGUCUGAUUAGGCAGUUGGCGGGUAACGGCCCACCAAACCGACGAUCAGUAGCCGGCCUGAGAGGCGACCGGCACAUUGGGACUGAGGACACGGCCCAGACUCCUACGGGAGCAGCAGUGGGGAAUAUGCACAAUGGGGAAACCCUGAUGCAGCGAC
rnacentral:rRNA from 1 species